rnacentral:rRNA from 1 species
AUACGGAGGGGGUUAGCGUUGUUCGGAAUUACUGGGCGUAAAGCGCGCGUAGGCGGACCAGUCAGUCAGGGGUGAAAUCCCGGGGCUCAACCCCGGAACUGCCUUUGAUACUGCUGGUCUUGAGUUCGAGAGAGGUGAGUGGAAUUCCGAGUGUAGAGGUGAAAUUCGUAGAUAUUCGGAGGAACACCAGUGGCGAAGGCGGCUCACUGGCUCGAUACUGACGCUGAGGUGCGAAAGCGUGGGGAGCAAACAGGAUUAGAUACCCUAGUAGUCC